rnacentral:lncRNA from 1 species
UUUGGUUCGAUCAACUCUAAGUUGAAGUUAUUACUUCAUACCUGAGUUGUUUGAAUCAAAACUUCCUAGCUUGGACCCUUUGUGCCGAUUGAUUUCCGUGAUCCCUCUAGCUUUGCUGGUUGUUACUCAAGACUUCUAAGCAUGCUCAAGUGUUGUUGAAUGAUGUUGAUUGCUAGGAUGCAUGCCCACAUAGGACUAGACGAGGCCUUAGUGACUUAAUAACAAUGAUAGACUAUGUUUAACUUGUUUGU